GAUGAACGCUAGCUACAGGCUUAACACAUGCAAGUCGAGGGACCGGCGCACGGGUGAGUAACACGUAUCCAACCUGCCCUUUACUCGGGGAUAGCCUUUCGAAAGAAAGAUUAAUACCCGAUAUAAAGGAUGGGGAUGCGUUCCAUUAGGUUGUUGGGGAGGUAACGGCUCACCAGGCUUUCGAUGGAUAGGGGUUGUGAGAGGAACGCCCCCGACAUUGGAACUGGUACACGGUCCAAACGCCUGCGGGCGGAAGCGUUAAGGACAAUUGGUCAGUGGGCUCUAUCCAGAACCGCCCAGGUAGCGUAAAGGUUGAAGGCUUAUGGGUCGUAUAUUUCUUUGAUGAAGAAUAUGUAUUAUAUGAAUAAGGAUCGGCUAACUCCGUGCCAGCAGCCGCGGUAAUUC
rnacentral:rRNA from 1 species